UCUAUUUAAUUCUGUGACCCUACUGGUUGUUUGAAACAUCAUUCACCAGUCUUGUUUUCCACCAUCACCCCUCUCCCUCAGCCAGCCAUCACCUUUUCUGAACAACUUACCUACCUCGCAGUCUGUGUGCUGCGUUUGGGUGCAAACUAACUCAACGUAUCCUCUUACAACGAUCUUCAAGGCUGAUGUCGGAGACAAAGUCAAUGUUUUCAUACCCAUUCUGCACCAGAACCUGGUAGUACUGACUGAGACCCAGGGUGUCGUCUGUUCAGGUGCAACACGGCCAGCCCGGCGGACGCCUCACUGUGCCCACUGAACCCACCCGUGUAGAUGCCUUUCUCUCAAACCAAAGCACUGGUUGAGAGGAAACAGGGGAGCAACAGAAAGAGGAUGCUCCAGAGUGAACCAAUCUGCCAUCCAAGAACUCACUUUCCCAUCAUCCUCUUCUGCCUUCCGCUCAAAGGACCUCUGCUCAUGAACUGUGCAACUGGAGGAGCCUAUGGGUGGAGGUGGAAAGGUGAGACAAGGGAGAGAAACAAGAGGGGAGAGAAUAACAUAUAUUAUUUAUGAGCAGUAAAGUACACUUUUGUUAUUUUACUCUUUUGUAGUUUUGUAAUUAC